rnacentral:rRNA from 1 species
UACGGAGGGAGCUAGCGUUGUUCGGAAUUACUGGGCGUAAAGCGCGCGUAGGCGGCUUUGUAAGUUAGAGGUGAAAGCCCGGGGCUCAACUCCGGAACUGCCUUUAAGACUGCAUCGCUAGAAUCCGGGAGAGGUGAGUGGAAUUCCGAGUGUAGAGGUGAAAUUCGUAGAUAUUCGGAGGAACACCAGUGGCGAAGGCGGCUCACUGGUCCAUUACUGACGCUGAGGUGCGAAAGCGUGGGGAGCAAACAGG